rnacentral:rRNA from 1 species
GAUGAACGCUGGCGGCGUGCCUAAUACAUGCAAGUCGAGCGAACAGACGGGGAGCUUGCUCCUCUGACGUUAGCGGCGGACGGGUGAGUAACACGUGGAUAACCUACCUAUAAGACUGGGAUAACUUCGGGAAACCGGAGCUAAUACCGGAUAAUAUAUUGAACCGCAUGGUUCAAUAGUGAAAGACGGUUUUGCUGUCACUUAUAGAUGGAUCCGCGCCGCAUUAGCUAGUUGGUAAGGUAACGGCUUACCAAGGCAACGAUGCGUAGCCGACCUGAGAGGGUGAUCGGCCACACUGGAACUGAGACACGGUCCAGAGUCCUACGGGAGGCAGCAGUAGGGAAUCUUCCGCAAUGGGCGAAAGCCUGACGGAGCAACGCCGCGUGAGUGAUGCAGGUCUUCGGAUCGUAAAACUCUGUUAUUAGGGAAGAACAAAUGUGUAAGUAACUAUGCACGUCUUGACGGUACCUAAUCAGAAAGCCACGGCUAACUACGUG